AGCAGUGAGGAAUAUUGGUCAAUAGCCUAACGGCUGAACCAGCAACUUGGAGGAAUGUACAGCGUAAGCUGGUUAUAUUAACUAACAGUUAACGUGGCAUCGACUAUGUUGAAUAAAAUUCUAGGUAGAGUUAUGAUAAUGACAUUUUCUAUCUAUGUGUCUUGACCAAAUCACGUGCCAGCCGUCGCGGUAAUACGUGGAAGACUAGUGUUAUUCAUCUUUAAUUGGUUUAAAGGGUACCUAGACGGUUUAUUAAGCCCUUAAGGGUACUAAUAAACUAGAGUUUAAUGUGAGGGGGGGAGUACUAAAGAGUGAAGAGAUGAAAUUUUGUCAUACCUACUUGGAACAGGCAACAGCGAAAGCAACCCCCUAUGUAAAAACUGACGUUGAAGGACGAAGGCUUGGGACACCAACAGGAUUAGAUACCCCAGCAGUCCUUGCAGAAAAUGAUGAAUGUCAUAGAUAGGAGUUCUAUAUCUUUUAUAUAUAUAUGAAUUAUAUAAUUCUAUCUAUAAAUGAAAGUGUAAGCAUUCCACCUCAAGAGUAAUGUGGCAACGCAGAAACUGAAAUCAUUAGACCGUUUCUGAAACCAGUAGUGAAGUAUGUUGUUUAAUUUGGUGGCCCGCAAAACACCUUACCACAAUUUGAAUAUUUAUAUAUAUAUAUAAGAUACAAGCGCUGCACGGCUGUCUUCAGUUAAUGUCGUGAGAUUUUGGUUAGUUCCAUAAAAUUAACGUAAACCCUUACUUUAUUUUUAUUAUAGAGUAGUUCACCGCUAUAUUGGAUAUGAUAAAAGGGACUAAGACAAGUCAUCAUGGCCUUAUUAUUGUGGGCUAUAGACG
rnacentral:rRNA from 1 species